AGAGUUUGAUCCUGGCUCAGAAUGAACGCUGGCGGCGUGCCUAACACAUGCAAGUCGAGCGAGAAAGCUCCUUCGGGAGUGAGUACAGCGGCGGACGGGUGAGUAACACGUAAGAAUCUGCCCUAUAGUGAGGAAUACCCUCGAGAAAUUGAGGUUAAUACUGCAUAAGUCCCUGCGGGGAGAAAGGCGUCUUUUAUGUCGCCGCUAUAGGAUGAGCUUGCGGACUAUCAGCUUGUUGGUGAGGUAAAAGCUCACCAAGGCUAUGACGGUUAACCGGCCUGAGAGGGUGUACGGUCACAUAGGCACUGAGACACGGGCCUGACUCCUACGGGAGGCAGCAGUGGGGAAUAUUGCGCAAUGGGCGAAAGCCUGACGCAGCGACGCCGCGUGGAGGAUGAAGGUCUUCGGAUUGUAAACUCCUGUCAGAUGGAAAGAAAGGUUUGCGUUUAAUAGACGCAGAAUAUGACGGUACCAUCAGAGGAAGCACCGGCUAACUUCGUGCCAGCAGCCGCGGUAAUACGAAGGGUGCAAGCGUUAUUCGGAAUCACUGGGCGUAAAGGGUGUGUAGACGGUAUAUUAAGUUCGUCGUUAAAGGCUCCGGCCUAACCGGAGUAUUGCGAUGAAAACUGGUACGCUAGAGGGUGAGAGAGAGAAGUGGAAUUCCCGGAGUAGCGGUAAAAUGCGUGGAUCUCGGGAGGAACACCAAUGGCGAAGCAGCUUCUUGGCUCAUUCCUGACGUUGAGGCACGAAAGCGUGGGGAGCAAACAGGAUUAGAUACCCUGGUAGUCCACGCCGUAAACGAUAAUCACUAGAUGUUGGGUUCGGCUUAGCUGGAUCAGUGUCGUAGCUAACGCGUUAAGUGAUUCGCCUGGGGGAGUAUGGUCGCAAGGCUAAACUUAAAAGAAUUGACGGGGGUCCGCACAAGCG
rnacentral:rRNA from 1 species